UACGGGGGGAGCAAGCGUUGUUCGGAUUUACUGGGCGUAAAGGGCGCGUAGGCGGUAGCAAAGUCAGUCGUGAAAUCUCCGGGCUUAACUCGGAAAGGUCAACUGAUACUGUGCGACUAGAGUGCAGAAGGGGCAACUGGAAUUCUCGGUGUAGCGGUGAAAUGCGUAGAUAUCGAGAGGAACACCUGCGGCGAAGGCGGGUUGCUGGGCUGACACUGACGCUGAGGCGCGAAAGCCAGGGGAGCGAACGGG
rnacentral:rRNA from 1 species